UUAGCUCAUAUUUGUAUGGAAUGGAAUCGUUUGCGUGCGUUUGCCGCUAGGGGCGCUGUUCCAACUGCAUACAAAAUUGAGUUA
rnacentral:pre_miRNA from 1 species